AACGCACAUUGCGCCCGCCAGUAUUCUGGCGGGCAUGCCUGUCUGAGCGUCAUUUCAACCCUCAUACCCCUAGGGUGUGGUGUUGGGGAUCGGCCAAGGCCCGCAAGGGACGGCCGGCCCCUAAAUCUAGUGGCGGACCCGUCGUGGCCUCCUCUGCGAAGUAGUGAUAUUCCGCAUCGGAGAGCGACGAGCCCCUGCCGUUAAACCCCCAACUUUCUAAGGUUGACCUCAGAUCAGGUAGGAAUACCCGCUGAACUUAA
rnacentral:misc_RNA from 1 species